rnacentral:SRP_RNA from 2 species
GCUGGGCAUGGUGGCGCAUGCCUGUAAUCCCAGCUACUCGGGAGGCUGAGGCAGGAGAAUCACUUGAAUCCAGGAGGCAGAGGUUGCAGUGAGCCGAGAUCGCGCCACUGUACUCUAGCCUGGGUGACAGAGCGAGACUCCGUCUCAA